rnacentral:rRNA from 1 species
AGCUUGCUACCUGACCUAGCGGCGGACGGGUGAGUAAUGCUUAGGAAUCUGCCUAUUAGUGGGGGACAACAUUCCGAAAGGAAUGCUAAUACCGCAUACGCCCUACGGGGGAAAGCAGGGGAUCUUCGGACCUUGCGCUAAUAGAUGAGCCUAAGUCAGAUUAGCUAGUUGGUGGGGUAAAGGCCUACCAAGGCGACGAUCUGUAGCGGGUCUGAGAGGAUGAUCCGCUACACUGGGACUGAGACACGGCCCAGACUCCUACGGGAGGCAGCAGUGGGGAAUAUUGGACAAUGGGCGAAAGCCUGAUCCAGCCAUGCCGCGUGUGUGAAGAAGGCCUUUUGGUUGUAAAGCACUUUAAGCGAGGAGGAGGCUACUUGGAUUAAUACUCUAGGAUAGUGGACGUUACUCGCAGAAUAAGCACCGGCUAACUCUGUGCCAGCAGCCGCGGUAAUACAGAGGGUGCGAGCGUUAAUCGGAUUUACUGGGCGUAAAGCGUGCGUAGGCGGCUUUUUAAGUCGGAUGUGAAAUCCCUGAGCUUAACUUAGGAAUUGCAUUCGAUACUGGGAAGCUAGAGUAUGGGAGAGGAUGGUAGAAUUCCAGGUGUAGCGGUGAAAUGCGUAGAGAUCUGGAGGAAUACCGAUGGCGAGGGCAGCCAUCUGGCCUAAUACUGACGCUGAGGUACGAAAGCAUGGGGAGCAAACAGGAUUAGAUACCCUGGUAGUCCAUGCCGUAAACGAUGUCUACUAGCCGUUGGGGCCUUUGAGGCUUUAGUGGCGCAGCUAACGCGAUAAGUAGACCGCCUGGGGAGUACGGUCGCAAGACUAAAACUCAAAUGAAUUGACGGGGGCCCGCACAAGCGGUGGAGCAUGUGGUUUAAUUCGAUGCAACGCGAAGAACCUUACCUGGUCUUGACAUAGUAAGAACUUUCCAGAGAUGGAUUGGUGCCUUCGGGAACUUACAUACAGGUGCUGCAUGGCUGUCGUCAGCUCGUGUCGUGAGAUGUUGGGUUAAGUCCCGCAACGAGCGCAACCCUUUUCCUUAUUUGCCAGCGGGUUAAGCCGGGAACUUUAAGGAUGCUGCCAGUGACAAACUGGAGGAAGGCGGGGACGACGUCAAGUCAUCAUGGCCCUUACGACCAGGGCUACACACGUGCUACAAUGGUCGGUACAAAGGGUUGCUACCUAGCGAUAGGAUGCUAAUCUCAAAAAGCCGAUCGUAGUCCGGAUUGGAGUCUGCAACUC